rnacentral:rRNA from 1 species
GUGAGGAAUAUUGGUCAAUGGGCGAGAGCCUGAACCAGCCAAGUCGCGUGAAGGAUGAAGGUUUUAUGAAUUGUAAACUUCUUUUGCAGGGGAAUAAAGUACGGUACGUGUACCGUUUUGUAUGUACUCUGCGAAUAAGGAUCGGCUAACUCCGUGCCAGCAGCCGCGGUAAUACGGAGGAUCCAAGCGUUAUCCGGAUUUAUUGGGUUUAAAGGGUGCGUAGGUGGUUUGAUAAGUCAGCGGUGAAAGUUUGCAGCUUAACUGUAAAAAUGCCGUUGAAACUGUCGGACUUGAGUGUAAAUGAGGUAGGCGGAAUGCGUGGUGUAGCGGUGAAAUGCAUAGAUAUCACGCAGAACUCCGAUUGCGAAGGCAGCUUACUAAGCUACAACUGACACUGAAGCACGAAAGCGUGGGGAUCAAACAGGAUUAGAAACCCCAGUAGUCC